rnacentral:rRNA from 1 species
GUUAUAUAAGUCAGAUGUGAAAGACCCGGGCUCAACCUUGGAAUUGCGUCUGAUACUGUAUAACUUGGGUAGCUGAGAGGAAGUCGGAAUUCCUGGUGUAGGGGUGAAAUCUAUAGAUAUCAGGAAGAACACCAGUAGCGUAGGCGGACUUCUGGCAGCUUACCGACGCUGAGGUACGAAAGGUAGGGUAGCAAACAGGAUUAGAGACCCUGGUAGUCCUACCUGUAAACGUUGUAUACUAGGUGGUGGAAGUUUAAUAUCUUUCUCUGCCGGAGUUAACGCAUUAAGUAUACCGCCUGGGGAGUAUGCCGGCAACGGUGAAACUCAAAGGAAUUGACGGGGCCCCGCACAAGCAGUGGAGCAUGUUGAUUAAUUCGAUGAUACGCGAGGAACCUUACCAGGUCUUGACAUAUAUCUGACGCACAUAGAGAUAUGUGUUCUCUUUUGAGCAGAUAUACAGGUGCUGCAUGGUUGUCGUCAGCUCGUGCCGUGAGGUGUUGGGUUAAGUCCCGCAACGAGCGCAACCCCUAUUCUUUGUUGCUAACGGGUAAUGCUGAGCACUCGAAGGAAACUGCCGGUGACAAACCGGAGGAAGGUGGGGAUGAGGUCAAAUCAUCACGGCCCUUAUGACCUGGGCUUCAAACGUGCUACAAUGGGUGGUACAAAGAGUAGCCAACCUGUGAAGGGGAGCCAAUCUCAAAAAGCCACCCCAAGUUCGGAUUGGAGUCUGCAACUCGACUCCAUGAAGUUGGAAUUGCUAGUAAUCGCACAUCACCAUGGUGCGGUGAAUAUGUUCCACGGGGCUUGUACACACCGCCCGUCACAUCACCCGAGUUGAUAUACCCGAGUAUCCGGGCUACCCUUUUAGGGGGGCAGGUCCGAAGGUAUGUUGGCAAGGGGG